AAAUGAUGAUUAUUAUAUAUUUGCUAUUCUUAGAUUAAUCAACCAUGCUGAAUGGAAAAGUCUGAUU